rnacentral:rRNA from 1 species
UACGUAGGGGGCAAGCGUUGUCUGGAAUCAUUGGGCGUAAAGCGCGUGUAGGCGGUUCGGUAAGUCUGCUGUGAAAGUCCAGGGCUCAACCCUGGGAUGCCGGUGGAUACUGUCGGGCUAGAGUGCGGAAGAGGCGAGUGGAAUUCCCGGUGUAGCGGUGAAAUGCGCAGAUAUCGGGAGGAACACCGAUGGCGAAGGCAAUCCCCUGGGCCUGCACUGACGCUCAUGCACGAAAGCGUGGGGAGCAAACAGG